UAUAUACUCCCUCCAUCCGGAAAUACUUGUCGUAGAAGGAUACAAAUGGAUGUAUAUAGAACUAAAAUACAUAUUGAUGCAUCCAUUCCUCGGACAAGUAUUUCCGGACGGAGGGAGUACAUU
rfam:Triticum aestivum genome assembly, contig: Triticum_aestivum_CS42_TGACv1_scaffold_361439_4DS